UACGAAGGGGGCGAGCGUUGUUCGGAAUUACUGGGCGUAAAGGGCGCGUAGGCGGCCAACUUUGUCAGGCGUGAAAGCCCUGGGCUCAACCUGGGAACUGCGCCUGGGACGGGUUGGCUAGAGAUCGGGAGAGGAGAGUGGAAUUCCCAGUGUAGAGGUGAAAUUCGUAGAUAUUGGGAAGAACACCGGUGGCGAAGGCGGCUAUCUGGACCGUAACUGACGCUGAGGCGCGAAAGCGUGGGGAGCAAACAGG
rnacentral:rRNA from 1 species